rnacentral:antisense_RNA from 1 species
GGGGGGAGGGAUAGCAUUAGGAGAUAUACCUAAUGAUAAAUGACGAGUUAAUGGGUGCAGCACACCAACAUGGCACAUGUAUACAUAUGUAACAAACCUGCACAUUGUGCACAUGUACCCUAAAACUUAAAGUAUAAUAAUAAUAAAACUAACUAAAUAAAUAAAUCUGCGGGUGGAUUUUUCAGAUGCACUGGCAGAGCAAAUAUCGGUUUUAUAUAAAAAGUCAGCAUAGCCAAUUGGAGAAAUGUGAGGGAAUGCUUCUAACUACUUCAUUACAUCCUAAUCACAAAAGCAGAAAGGACAAUGGAUAAAGACAAAAGCAAAUGUACAUUAUCACAUUUUGGCCCUAUACAACUAUUAGGACAAGAGAGGAAGGAGAAAAGCAGGCCCACGUCAGUUUAAAAAUGCCGUACACUGCACUCCAGGUCUGGUAAUCUGGCUCAACCAGAUUGAGGCUGGUAACCUGGCUCAACCAGUUCUGCGAUUUCACCCAAGAACAGAAGACAGCAAGAGAAACUCACUUUGACCCCCUAUGAUUGCAUCUCCAACCCGACCAAUCAGCACACCCCACUUCCCAAGCCUCUCCCCACCAAAUUAUCCUUAAAAACUCUGAUCCCGGGGAAGGCUUGGAAAGACAGAUUUG